AGCUAUGUGCGGUACAUCUGGUCCAACCGCAGCCUUGCACGGAGCCAGCAUCUGUGCCAGCUCCUGAACGUGCCUGCCCCACCGCAGCAGCCUGUGUGCCUGGUGGUGCACAGUGGCUGGACCCAAUGCUUGCUAGCCCUGGGCAGGUGUGAGACCUGGACCAGUAGCAUGAGCCAAACACAGCCGGCCAGACCAAGUGGGCACUACGAGUCCAGAAGGCGUGAGCAAUACUCAGGCAGAAGGUGCCACCUACCACAGAGGCUGAGGUGGGCAGAUCACUUGAGGUCAGGAGUUUGAGACCAGCCUGGUCCCAA
rnacentral:lncRNA from 1 species